AGAAUCAACGCUGGCGGCGUGCCUAACACAUGCAAGUCGAGCGAGAAAGGGUAGCAAUACCUGAGUAAAGCGGCGCACGGGUGAGUAACACGUGGAUAACCUGCCUCGAAGUGGGGGAUAACACCGGGAAACCGGUGCUAAUACCGCAUACCCUGACGAGAUCUGCGGAUUUUGUCAGUAAAGGAGCAAUUCGCUUUGAGAGGGGUCCGCGGCUGAUUAGCUAGUUGGUGAGGUAAUGGCUCACCAAGGCAUCGAUCAGUAGCCGGUCUGAGAGGACGGUCGGCCACACUGGAACUGAGACACGGUCCAGACUCCUACGGGAGGCAGCAGUGGGGAAUUUUGGCAAUGGGGAAACCCUGACCAAGCAACGCCGCGUGGAUGAUGAAGUAUCUUGGUACGUAAAUCCUUUCGACGGGGACGAAACCGCAAGGUUGACGGUACCGUAGAAGAAGCCCGGCUAACUCCGUGCCAGCAGCCGC
rnacentral:rRNA from 1 species